GCUCCAGUGGCGCAGUCGGUUAGCGCAUGGUACUUAUAAGACAGUUUUCAUGUGUGAUCGUCAUAGCUGUUAAGAUGUGCCGAGGUCGCGAGUUCGAGCCUCGCCUGGAGCA
rnacentral:tRNA from 1 species